ACAAUACAACCUUCUGUUUUACGAGACGUCCGCCAUCACGGGGUUAAAACGUUCCAAAAAAUAUUUUUUGACUAUGGUCGAGCUCAUCAGGGAAGACGCAUACAACAGGUGGGUAAAAACAAAAAGGAGAGGUCUUUGGAACAACUUUAUGCAAAAAAGAAACUACCAAGUACAAAUAAGAGUAUUCCAGGGAGUGUGGGGGUAUUCUUUUUGAAGAGGUUUGAAUCUUGUACUUGUUGCGACUAUGCCUUUAAUCGAAUUUGUACAUUAUUCUUAUGUCAGGAUUACCUUUUUUCAGUGCGUUAUUUUGUGUUGCGAAUGUACGUGGCGAUUUGCACAUUUUGGCUCUGACGUCUCGACGCACAUUUUGGGUUUGUCUGUUGUAUUUUUGGGGUUGCGGACUGUGGUGACGUUUGGUCUCGAGGUUGGCUCUCGCGGAUAAUCUGGCGUCUCCAGGCACGCUAGAUGUACAUGUCUACCGGUUUCCAGUUAUAGGUGUCCACGUUCUUCGUGUUUACUUUAUGCUCCGAGAUGGGCAUGCCUUGUUCGAAUUCCUCCACUUUGGUACACUUUCGACAGGUUUAUCAGAAAAUUAUAAAAAAAAAAAAACUGUCAUACCUCUGCGCCCCAACUGUUGAGUGGUUUGGUAUUUCUCAGAUCUGAGAUCAGCUGGUCUAUGGAUGAGUUGUCGCCAAACAGAGUGAAUUCGACGAUGGUGCGAUCUGAUUUGAGGUUGGUAGCGCCUGCCUCAAUUUUUCUCUUAAUGGCUGCGCGGAUCAGGGUCUGAGAAGGUUUUAGCGUGGAGUCAGGUGCUGUUUCCACUUGGGAAUCAUGUUCAUACCUGUCGAAACAUGACUUGCUGGACUUUCCCAUACGCGCGAAAAUAUCGAGUUGCCUGCAACAUUUUGACCGAAAAAAUGAGUAAGACGGUGCUCAAAAAAAGUUUAGUUUUGGCUUUAUGAUGUUGAGUUUUCGGAGCGUUGCGAGGCUUCGCGCUCGGAGGGGUUGGGUCUACCAGGAACUGAGGCGCUCAUCGUCCAUGCCUGACAGGUCGGUGCGAGACGACAUUCAACGAAGGCUGACCGAUUACUUCGAUCCGGUUUACAUAGAGGUGGUUGACGAGAGUCAUAAGCACAGCUUUUCGAGGGGCACAGAGACGCAUUUCAAGGUGACGAUUGUUUCCGAGAAGUUCAAGGACUUGCCUGUCGUUGAGCAGCAUCGCUUGGUGAAUUCGGUGCUCGGGGAGGACAUACGCGUACACGCGCUUGCUAUCAAGACCGCGACUCCGAAGAGAUGGGCAGUCAGUGAAGCUAAAUUUACGACUCCGCCGUGUUCGGGUUGGCACGCCCAUAAAAACAAAGCGCAAUGAAAAAAGUCCGGCCAAAACUUAUGGUGGACGGUCUGCAAGACGAAUGCGCCGAAUGUUUUUUUUUAUUUGCCGCAGCAGGAUUUGAUGAGCAAAAUUAGAACGGUCAAUAAAGACAGCCCAACAAUUGCCCAGUCGCAGACGAUCCAGACGUAUUUGAAGAUCUUGAGAUUUUCGAUCGUCACGUUGAAGAUGGUGUAAGUGUAAGUGUCGUGGACGUAUUCGUAGAAGUUGACAACGCAAAAUUUCGUGAGCGCGACAGAUGACAUGCAGAUAAGUCCCGUGUUGAACAAAAACGAGUUCAUUAGUGUUCCAGAUGCCUUCAUGGGAUGAAUGCUGAAAAAGAAGGGGACGUGGAUGCCGAAGUUGAGGUUUCCGUUGAUGACGCAUACUUGCAGCCAAACUGCGUACAAUAUGAAGACGAUGACGCCCAGGAUGUUUUGAAAGCCGCUUAUGUUUACGAAUAUCACGUUCAGGAACAUCGUCACGUCCAGAAGCCUGCUGAGGAUGAGAUUCAGAAUGAUGCUGAUGCUCAGCAGAGCGCCGAUGACGCCGACAAAGAGACAAAACCAGUACCACAAUACACGGAUUCCAUCAGGUUUGUGUGCUUCAACGGUUCUUUCCCAAUCUUCUUCGAGGAGGUAGACUUCUUUUCUCCAUUCGUUGUAGACUUUUGUUUUUGGCGGUUUUUUGUUGAAUUUAACGGCUUUGGAUAUGAGGUCGUCGGCCCUUUUACCGAUGACAACUUUUAGCUCUUCGAAUUUUUUAUUAUUAAUUUUUUCUGGGCGUUUGUACCAGGCGUUGAAGAAGUCGUAGGGAGCCGUUAUGAGUCCGAUACCGCAGAAAACGCUGAACAAGAUUGUACCGAAGAAGCACAUGAUGUUCAGCAUUUGAAUGAGGAAGGAGGUUUUGACGGACAGGCUGGUCGAUCUGGCUUUCCAGUUGCACUCCUGACAGGGGGGUGGUGUCAGGUUGUCUGGAUCCUGCCACCAGGUCGGAGGUCUGAAUGUCGUAGUCUAUGCUCACGUUGUUGAGAAAGAUGUAGCUCAGGGCGGUGAGGGCUCCAAAGAGAAUGGAACAGGCCAGACAUCCUAUGAUAGCGAACUUCAGCGCUCUCCUAGAGUUGGGUCGGAAAUGAAAGCCGUUAGAAAUGGCAUGAGCGAAUUUGUGGGCGAACGGUCUGAAAAGUUGUACGCAAAAAAAAAAAGAAAGCCAAAUGGCUCUCUGCGCGCGUACUUUGGCUUGUCGGGGUCCCAUUCCGAAUAGUAGAAGUAGGCGAAGGGGAUCAGCAAGAACGUCAGGAGGAUGAUUGUUGACAGGACGGAAAAAAAGAGGAUGUCCAUCGGUAUGCCGUUUUUUUUGGAGUCCCUGUUCAUGACGUCGAUGGGGAAUAGGAAGAUGAAGGUCGCGGCGGUUGUCAAGCCUAGAACCUGCGUUGGGGUUUGGUUGAGGGGAAAGAAAGGGAAAAGAAAAAGGGCGGUGGUUAGUGGUGCGCGCGUCACAAGAGGGUGUUCUGCUUCGGUUGGGUGUGGGAUCUGCGGACGUACGACGACCACUUUUGGGAGGUAGGCGGAGUUGUUGUCGUCCUCGUGGGAGAAGUACAUCAAGAAGUAGGAACAGUUUGCGAAGAAGAUGACGUAGGCCACGGCCGCCAGGACGGUGAUGUAGAUGUCGAACAUUUUUGCAGGGUGCCGAGCGCUCUUGGUGCGUAGAAAGCGGGGGUAUUGAAUGAGUAUGCGGGGUAGUCGAAUUUGCGCUUGGCUUUCGCGGGCGCCUUGUUCUAAAAAAAAAAGUGGUAAAAUUUCGAGAAGGAGUUUUUUUUGGGGGUUCUGUAUGUCAGAUGCGUCUAUGCUUGGGUCUAGUGCUGAUUUCCACAUAAAGGUCGCGUCUUUCCAGAAGCCGGACGGCGACGAGCUGGAUUCUCGCGCGUCGCACGAAUCGGAUGCGACGGAGGCGGUGAAGUAUUCUUGGUGUUUAGGGAGGGGGGUGCAGGACAAGUUGCUGGGUUGUGAGGAAAAUUGCGUGUCUUCGCUGAUGUCGUGCGAAAACCAGAGGGAGUUGGCACCCGUGAUCAGGUUGAACACACGCGAGACAGAUAGGAGGAGGAGGCGAUAUAUAACAUGAGCAUUUUCAUCGAGGGGACGGAGUCCAGAAUAGAGAAAAUUUGCCACGACAACUUUCAUAGGUUCAUCCACUCGAUUGAUAGCCUGUGCGAUGUGAGGAGGGACGUGGGAUACAUGAAGACGUCGAUUUCGACGUGGAACGCGGAGUUGCAGGCGACGGGGAGGGAUUUCACGAGGGCGAUUCAGAGUUUGGUGGAGGCGAGGGAAAUUGGUCGAAACAUCAACAGCGCGGUGGAGGAGAUCAAUGCGUGCAGCUACACGUUGAACUUGACUCGAAAGGUGAACGAGCACAUUGAGAACAAGCAGUUUUACCCGGCGAUAAAGAUUCUUGAACAGAUUCAGAAGGUGCAUUUGAAGAGCAUUUCGUCGUACGGGUUUGGGAGGACGUUGGCGAAGAAGAUCCCGGUGAUGGUCGAGAUGAUAAAGAAGCAGGUGUUGGACGGCAUGAACAGUUGGCUCUUGGCGAUGAGGAACGCUAGCGAGGAGAUUGGGCGGUUUUCGAUAGCGCAGAUGAACGCGAUUAUCGAGAAGGAGCAGUUGGCGGCGCUUCGUUUGAGACAGAUAAAGUCGUCGAGUGCCAGGA